rnacentral:rRNA from 1 species
UAGGUGAACCUGCGGAAGGAUCAUUACUGAGUGAGGGCCCUCUGGGUCCAACCUCCCACCCGUGUUUAUUGUACCUUGUUGCUUCGGUGCGCCCGCCUCACGGCCGCCGGGGGGCUUCUGCCCCCGGGUCCGCGCGCACCGGAGACACCAUUGAACUCUGUCUGAAGAUUGCAGUCUGAGCAUAAACUAAAUARGUUAAAACUUUCAACAACGGAUCUCUUGGUUCCGGCAUCGAUGAAGAACGCAGCGAAAUGCGAUAACUAAUGUGAAUUGCAGAAUUCAGUGAAUCAUCGAGUCUUUGAACGCACAUUGCGCCCCCUGGUAUUCCGGGGGGCAUGCCUGUCCGAGCGUCAUUGCUGCCCUCAAGCACGGCUUGUGUGUUGGGCUCCGUCCCCCCGGGGACGGGUCCGAAAGGCAGCGGCGGCACCGAGUCCGGUCCUCGAGCGUAUGGGGCUUUGUCACCCGCUCUGUAGGCCSGGCCGGCGCCAGCCGACAACCAAUCAUCCUUUUUCAGGUUGACCUCGGAUCAGGUA